AGCUGCCAUGGACCAGCCGGCGGGGCUGCAGGUGGACUACACUUUCCGCGGAGUGGAACACGUCGUGCGCCUGGCGGUGAGCGGUGGCGGCGGAGGCCGCGUCCUGGAGCUGGAGGUGGAGGACAAGAUGACCACCGACCAGUGGCGGGGGGAGUUCGACACGGCGUUCAUCGAGGAUCUGACGCACAAGACGGGCAAUUUCAAGCAGUUUGGCAUUUUCUGCAGUAUGCUGGAGUCGGCCCUCACCCAGAGCAGCGAGUCAGUCACCCUGGACCUGCUGACCUACGCUGACCUGGAAGCCCUGAGGAUGCGAAAGGUGGGGGCGCGACCCGGCCCCCCGGCCCCCCGCUCCGCCCUGCUCAGCUCCAAGCGCUACCUCAUCCUCGUCUACUCGGUGGAGUUCGACAGGUGACUGGGAAGAGGGCCUGGGGGUCGGGCUUAGGGGGAACGGGGCCUGGGUCUGCCGGAGCCCCGAGCGACGGCGUCACCCGUUCCUCCGGCCUCCAGGAUCCACUACCCACUGCCCCUGCCCUACCUGGGCAAGCCGGACCCCGCGGCCCUGCAGGGAGUCAUCCGGGCGCUCAGGGAGGAGCUGGCCCAGUUCAAGGCGGGGACCGGCCGCGACGGGGAGAUCCGGCGGCUGCGGGAGCAGUCAGUGAGGCGGGAGCCCGCGGGACCCAGGGAGGCUCAGGGUGGAGGUGGACGGCCCGCCCGUGUCCGGUCCGGGCUCCGGCGGGUGGUGCCGCCGGGUCGGGCGGGGGCGGCUGGGCCCAGGGGUCGGAGGGAAGCGGGUGGGCCUGGCCCAGGUGGGUCGUCCCCUCCCAGGUGUCUCUACCACCGCCUGUCCUCCCCCUUGCACGUGCCCAAACCCCCCUCCCCCGGCCCCCAGCCCCUGCCGCUCUCCUCCUCUCUGGGCCAGGCUGUCCCAGGCGGCGGCGGAGAAGCGGGAGCUGGAGUCGGCGCUGAGCCGGGCCCAGGCGGCGGAGGCCCGGGUGGCAGAGGCCCGGCUGGAGGAGGUGCGGGGCGGGCGGGGGACCCCGCGGGAGGUGGCGGCGUUGAGGCAGCUGGUGCGCAGCCUGGAGGAGGAGCUGCUGCGCGAGCGGAGCCAGCACCAGCGUGCGGCCGGGCGCCGCGGACAGGAGUGCAGGCAGCUGGCCCGGGAGCUGGAGGAGGUCAAGGCCUCGGAGAGAAACCUGCGCAUUCGGCUCAAGACGGUGUCCAGCGAGCUGGCCUUGUACAAGCAAGGGUGAGCUUGGCGUCCCGGACCCAUCUCCUCUCCCGGGCAAUCGAUCUGUCGGUCGGGGUUUCUGAGCGCUUAUUCCAUGCAGAGAAUCCUGUGCUAAGCACCUGGGAGAGUACGAUAGAGGAAGUAAGCACUAUUUCUGUCCUGAAGGAGCUUACGGUUUUUAGAGGGGACGGACGCUACAAUAAAAUUACCAAUAGGGGAAGCGGCAGAGUGUAA
rnacentral:lncRNA from 1 species